rnacentral:rRNA from 1 species
AGUGAACGCUGGCGGUAGGCCUAACACAUGCAAGUCGAACGGCAGCACAGUAAGAGCUUGCUCUUACGGGUGGCGAGUGGCGGACGGGUGAGGAAUACAUCGGAAUCUACUUUUUCGUGGGGGAUAACGUAGGGAAACUUACGCUAAUACCGCAUACGACCUACGGGUGAAAGCAGGGGAUCUUCGGACCUUGCGCGAUUGAAUGAGCCGAUGUCGGAUUAGCUAGUUGGCGGGGUAAAGGCCCACCAAGGCGACGAUCCGUAGCUGGUCUGAGAGGAUGAUCAGCCACACUGGAACGGAGACACGGUCCAGACGACUACGGGAGGCAGCAGUGGGGAAUAUUGGACAAUGGGCGCAAGCAUGAUCCAGCCAGACCGCGUGGGUGAAGAAGGCCUUCGGGUUGUAAAGCCCUUUUGUUGGGAAAGAAAAGCAGCAGGUUAAUACCCCGCUGUUCUGACGGUACCCAAAGAAUAAGCACCGGCUAACUUCGUG